UCCGGUGAAUAUAACGGAGAGGCCACACCUGUUCCCAUACCGAACACAGCAGUUAAGCUCUCUCGUGCCCACAAUACUUGGCUGGUGACGGCCUGGAAAGAUAGGUAUUCGCCGGAU
rnacentral:rRNA from 1 species